UCCUGAGUGUUGGUCCGGGCGAGGCUUGAACCACGACAUUCCGCACAACAGACCGACGACCGACUUUCUUUCAAUAAAUUUAAGCUAACAUUUCUGUAGAUAAUUUUACAGGACACGAGAAUAUUUGUUUAGUUAUGUGAUUCAAUAUCAUUGGUUAAAUUCAUUUCUUUAGUCUCUUUGUUUCAUUGUUUUCUCAUUGUUUCCUGGCUUAUCAGAUUUUUUCCCGUCUCAUUUAACAUUUAAAUUAGUAGCAUAAGAUCACCGUCCUGAACCUAGUUUUUCUAGUCAGUCCUUGUCAAGUUUGUAGCAGUUUGUUUUGUAAGUAUUUUGUCGUUCUUUCGGUUUCUUUAUCCGUUCACUUGAUCUAGUCUGAUCAAUUAACUGUCUUAUGCUGCUUUGUUAAAGAAACCAUGUCGUAUUAAAACUCCUGGUUAAAGCUAAAAUACUACCAGCCUUUAUGGUUUGCGAUUACAGUUAUUAUGAUCAAGCAAAUGCUACCAGAUGCCAGAGCAGAGCAGCUGAAUGCAUGAAUAUAAGGUGAAAAUUUUUCGUCAUCCAAGUCCCAAGUACAGCGAAACUUUUCAAUGACCAGUACUUCGUCCAAACGUUUACCGCAGUAAAAGGAUUACUUUUCAAGUGCUGCAAACAACAAUGGGCCUGGCCUAUCAUUACGGUUUGUUUAUCCUUACCGUAACCAUGGCGAUAGCUCAAGGCGGUUGUCCAUCACCAUGUUCCUGCCACCAAAGUGGCUCAUAUUACGUCACAGAUUGCACAGGAAAGCAAUUGGCCAUGGUUCCUAAUGGGAUAUUUGAUAAUAGGACAACUGAACUAUAUCUAUCAAAUAACCAACUGAUGAUGUUACCUCCUGGAAUCUUUGACCACAACCAAAAACUCUAUCUGCUGUAAGUUAAAUGUCAUACAAGUAAAAAUGUUGUUAGGCUUUUAAAAAAGAAAGGUUUAAAUGCUAUUCAACCUUUUGCGUUAAUUGUAAAGACACUCGAUUCUUAGUUCAUUCGAUUCGCCAUUGAUUCAUUUAUUAAC